UAUCCAGUAGCACCUUAGAGACCAACUAAGUUUGUUCUUGGUAUAAACUUUCGUGUGCAUGUACACUUCUUCAGAUACCAAAUUUAGUUGGUUUCUAAGGUGCUACUGGACA